GUCCUGUGAAAAUAGAAGGGGCAGAGUGAAAACACCACUUUCAGGUGAAGUGGCAACAUGUUGUGUUGUUUACUUCAAUUGGUGUUGUGACAAGA
ensembl:snoRNA